rnacentral:tRNA from 1 species
GCCGAUGUGAUGGAAUUGGUAGACGUAGCGGACUCAAAAUCCGCCGAUGUUACAAUCGUGCCGGUUCGAAUCCGGCCAUCGGUACCA